CUCUGUUAUAACUGGAGGUAUGGGAUGCGGCCUGUACGCAGAACCUUUCAUGAGCUCCGAGUGAAAAGAGGUUAUUGCAGAUCAUGUGAGCCAUUGGAACCAUUACUUGGAGGGAUACUGUAUUUUCUUAGAUAA
rnacentral:lncRNA from 1 species